rnacentral:rRNA from 1 species
AAUUUAAUAACAUUAUGAGUAAUACGUGUUCAUUCUAAACUCAAAUACAUUGGCAGUCACAAUCAUUUCGAGGAACUCGCUAUUUAAUCGUAAAUACCCGCUUAAUUUAACCCUACAUAACUAGUUUAUAUACCGCCGUUAACAUAAGAAUUCAUUUUACCUCCUAAAUAAAAACAAUUUUAUAAAAUCAGGUCAAGGUGUAGCUAAUAUUAGGGUUUAUAGUAAGUUACAUUAUAACUAAUAUUAGGAUUAAAUCUAUAAAGAUUUAUAAAAAAGAAUUUAAAAUUAUAAUGCAAAUAAAAUUUUCAUUAGAAACAUAAAUUAGUGAUGU